rnacentral:piRNA from 1 species
UAAGAGCACAGGAUCGGAUGAAGAUGG